AGGUUAAGGCUAAUCAUGUGAACUAAAACAAAUGUUGAACUAUUUUGAUAAGGUUUACAAAGCCAGCAGUGGCCUCAAGAUUGCUGUUGAACUUUGUGGUGAGCUAAAACUGAUUAAUUGUGCAUAAUAAUUUCUAGUAGCAGUAAUUGAACUAUUUUGGUCGCUGAUCUCAAAAGAGGUUAAGGCUAAUCACCCAAAGAUUAUCAGCUUGCUGGGGUUGUUGCGGUUGAAGUCACAGGAGGGCCAACCAUCGACUUUGUUCCAGGAAGAAUGGAUUGCGCAGAUUCUCCUGAUGAAGGACGCCUUCCUGAUGCAAAUCAAGGUGCCGGACAUUUGAGAGAAAUCUUUUACAGAAUGGGGCUUUCUGACAAGGAUAUUGUCGCGCUUUCAGGAGGCCACACUCUGGUAUAUUUAUCACCAUUUGAUGGGACAUGAAGUCGAGAUGCAGGUGGUUUGAAAUACUUUGCCUCGUCGAUUUGGCGCUCCAGGUCUUCCAGAGUUGAAUGCAUCUCAGCUACAAUAAUCGGGCAAUUAUGGAGGCUGCUCAAGU